UACGUAGGGGGCGAGCGUUGUCCGGAUUUAUUGGGCGUAAAGAGCUCGUAGGCGGUUGGGUAAGUCGGGUGUGAAAACUCAGGGCUCAACUCUGAGACGCCACUCGAUACUGCCCUGACUCGAGUCCGGUAGGGGAGCGUGGAAUUCCCGGUGUAGCGGUGAAAUGCGCAGAUAUCGGGAGGAACACCAGUGGCGAAGGCGGCGCUCUGGGCCGGAACUGACGCUGAGACUCGAAAGCGUGGGGAGCAAACAGG
rnacentral:rRNA from 1 species